AGGUGUAGCAAUACAUGCUGACGAGCGGCGGACGGGUGAGUAACGCUUGGGAAUCUGCCUGUUAGUGGGGGACAACCUGGGGAAACUCGGGCUAAUACCGCAUACGCACUAUGGUGGAAAGCCGGGACCGCAAGGCCUGGCGCUAACAGAUGAGCCCAAGUCGGAUUAGCUAGUUGGUAGGGUAACGGCCUACCAAGGCGACGAUCCGUAACUGGUCUGAGAGGACGACCAGUCACACCGGAACUGAGACACGGUCCGGACUCCUACGGGAGGCAGCAGUGGGGAAUAUUGGACAAUGGGGGCAACCCUGAUCCAGCGACGCCGCGUGGGUGAAGAAGGCCUGCGGGUUGUAAAGCCCUUUCGGUUGGGAAGAAAAGUUGCGGUUUAACACAUCGCGACCUUGACGUAACCAACUAAAGAAGCACCGGCUAACUCUGUGCCAGCAGCCGCGGUAAUACAGAGGGUGCGAGCGUUAAUCGGAAUUACUGGGCGUAAAGCGCGCGUAGGCGGCUUUUCAAGUCGAUUGUGAAAUCCCCGGGCUCAACCUGGGAACUGCAGUCGAGACUGUCUAGCUAGAGUAUGGGAGAGGGAAGUGGAAUUUCAGGUGUAGCGGUGAAAUGCGUAGAUAUCUGAAGGAACAUCAGUGGCGAAAGCGACUUCCUGGACCAAUACUGACGCUCAUGUGCGAAAGCGUGGGGAGCAAACAGGAUUAGAUACCCUGGUAGUCCACGCCAUAAACGAUGAGAACUGGAUGUCGGAGGGGUCUGCCCUUCGGUGUCGUAGCUAACGCG
rnacentral:rRNA from 1 species